rnacentral:rRNA from 1 species
AAAAUUGGAAAAUGGGGGGAACCCCAAUCAAGCCAUGCCGCGUGUGUGAAGAAAGUCUUCGGAUUGUAAAGCACAGUAAGUUGGGAGGAAGAGUUGUAGGCUAAUACCUUGCAAUUCUGAUGUUACAAACAGAAUAAGCACCGGCUAACUUAGUGCCAGCAGCCGCGGUAAUACGAAGGGUGCAAGCGUUAAUCGGAAGUACUGGGCGUAAAGCGCGCGUAGGUGGUUUGAUAAGUUGGAUGAGAAAGCCCCAGGCUCAACAUGGGAAUUGCAUCCAAAACUGUCUGACUAGAGUAUGGCAGAGGGUGGUGGAAUUUCCUGUAUAGCGGUGAAAUGCGUAGAUAUAAGAAGGAACAUCAGUGGCGAAGGAGACUACCUGGACUGAUACUGACACUGAGGUGCGAAAGCGUGGGGAGCAAACAGG